rnacentral:rRNA from 1 species
CGGCACCUACGGGGCGCAGCAGUGAGGAAUAUUGGUCAAUGGCCGCAGGGCUGAACCAGCCACGUCGCGUGAGGGAUGACGGUCCUAUGGAUUGUAAACCUCUUUUGUCAGGGAGCAAAGGGCGCCACGUGUGGCGCUUUGCGAGUACCUGAAGAAAAAGCAUCGGCUAACUCCGUGCCAGCAGCCGCGGUAAUACGGAGGAUGCGAGCGUUAUCCGGAUUUAUUGGGUUUAAAGGGUGCGUAGGCGGUUCGAUAAGUUAGAGGUGAAAUCCCGGGGCUCAACUCCGGCACUGCCUCUGAUACUG